rnacentral:rRNA from 1 species
GACGAACGCUGGCGGCGUGCUUAACACAUGCAAGUCGAACGGAAAGGCCCUGCUUUUGUGGGGUGCUCGAGUGGCGAACGGGUGAGUAACACGUGAGUAACCUGCCCUUGACUUUGGGAUAACUUCAGGAAACUGGGGCUAAUACCGGAUAGGAGCUCCUGCUGCAUGGUGGGGGUUGGAAAGUUUCGGCGGUUGGGGAUGGACUCGCGGCUUAUCCGCUUGUUGGUGGGGUAGUGGCUUACCAAGGUUUUGACGGGUAGCCGGCCUGAGAGGGUGACCGGCCACAUUGGGACUGAGAUACGGCCCAGACUCCUACGGGAGGCAGCAGUGGGGAAUAUUGCACAAUGGGCGGAAGCCUGAUGCAGCAACGCCGCGUGCGGGAUGACGGCCUUCGAGUUGUAAACCGCUUUCGCCUGUAACGAAGCGUGAGUGACGGUAAUGGGUAAAGAAGCACCGGCUAACUACGUG